GUUUCAUAACAGUGGUUUGUUUCUUUGUGUUUGAACCCUAGAAAAAUGAAAUGUUUACAUUUGCCAGCACAAAAGGCAAGAAGAGAAGUAACGUACCAGCAACUCGAAACAAACUACAAUCAAUAUCAUGGAUAUGUCUGGGUGUGGAGGCUCUAAAAGUACUGACUCUUGAUAAUGCAGGCAGUACUCUGCUUAUCUAUGUUCCUUUUGCACAUUCAUCUACAAGACAUUUUCCUUCCACUAAACUUUCCAUAGAUAUGCUUGGAUACAGCAUUCUGUGAACCAAUUUCUUUAGCAGUUAACUUUUGUGGUUUGCCAUAACGUUUCUGCAUGACAAGUUUAUGCAUAACUUUCACUUUUUCAAAUUAUUUACUGGAAUUAACACUUUUUUAUUAUGUUCUCAUUUUUGCAGGUGCGGUACAUUGAUACAAAUUUUUUUUUUUGAUGGAUUUUACGAUUUUAUUUGUCCUAAUUCCCAGAUAAGAGUUCUGACUCUUAAGGCAGCAGUUAGUUAGUAGUUAGCAAACAACAUUCCUACAGUGUGAGGUGGAUGGGCGACUCAGUUAAACAUCUCUUAUGUUAUAUUUCACCUUUUGUUGGUAGUUUUGGAAGAACUAUACAAAAAAUAUAGGUCGGGAUUAUUCAGAAUUUCAGAUUCCAGCAGUACAUCUUAGAGUUUCAAAACUCGUUUUUUUUUUUUUUUUUUUUUUUUGAUAAGACGAUUGGUGCCCGUUUCUUUCCCAGAGAGAUCUAGACACUGCAGGUACGGACAAAUGGUGUUGGAUUGGCACACUCAUUCCUACGCUAUCACUUGGACCUGGACCAAAGUUUCCCCGAUGAGCAGACAGCAUUACAACAAACAGAGCAAGCUUCCACUAGAGCUGAAAACAACGUUGCCAGCAGAGUGGAACACAUCCCAGCACACCAACAGCAACGUCUUGGGUCUGGAUUUUUAUGAAAACCCUGAGGUGCAAUAACUUUAAGGUCUGGAUUGGACCAAUGACUCCAUGCUGAUGGCCUCAUGCUACCCUUGGUGGGCCUUUAUGUGGAAGGGAGGGGUGGGGGUGAAACUACAUGGAAAAUACACUUAUUGCUCCAUAGUGGGAUCCAGAGAGCGGAUGCACGUGUGUGUAAACAAGCAACAGAGGCACGCUGCAAGAGAAGCAGAUCAGGGAAUGAAGCGAAUGCUGCUGGGAGAGCUGAACAUGGGCCAUGUGGUUCUUGACCCCGUGACCCCCAUCCCAGUCGUGAGAACUUUCUUUUCAGACCCUGAAACGAGCGCUGCGUGUAUGCACACACACACACGCCUCCACCCUCAGCACAGGGACAACAAAACCUGAGCAGAAAAAGAAAACACCUCAAUUUCUUUAUAAAAAGGAGUAAAAUCAUCAUACCUUUCCACCAGUGCAAGUGGACUCCUGCCAAGUAUGCAGCCAGUAAAGCACCCCCCUCCUAGUUCACUUAAAAUAAGUCAACCAAGUAUGUUUUGGUUAGGAUUUCAUACCUGCCUGGGCUUCAUUCACUCUCAGUUUGAGGUUCUUAUGAAGACAAAAGGUUCCCCAAAGUCAAUGAUGGCAGCAGCAGGGGGGAAACUAACUGCACUUCAUUGCACCUUUUGUUGGAGUGGUUUAAUCCUUAAAAGCUCCUGGGUCAUUUUCUUAUGCUUUCCCACAGGUACAGUGGCUCGGAAAAGUGCCUCCUUACAUGCUGUCUCUUCAAAGGCGCAAGUUUAAUGUGGUUUAUUGGGAUUUUAUGUGAUGACCAACACAGAGUAGUGCAAAAAUGGUGAGGUGGAAGUACAGUGGUGCGUGGCUUUCGAGUUUUUUCAGUUUGUUUUGUUUUGAAAACAGUUCUUAGAAAUGUGGAGUGCUUUUUAGUAAGUAAUAUGUUACCCCUAAAUAAAGCUAUGAUAGCUAACCCAGUGCAA